rnacentral:rRNA from 1 species
GACGAACGCUGGCGGCGUGCUUAACACAUGCAAGUCGAACGGAAAGGCCCUGCUUUUGUGGGGUGCUCGAGUGGCGAACGGGUGAGUAACACGUGAGUAACCUGCCCUUGACUUUGGGAUAACUUCAGGAAACUGGGGCUAAUACCGGAUAGGAGCUCCUGCUGCAUGGUGGGGGUUGGAAAGUUUCGGCGGUUGGGGAUGGACUCGCGGCUUAUCAGCUUGUUGGUGAGGUAGUGGCUUACCAAGGCUUUGACGGGUAGCCGGCCUGAGAGGGUGACCGGCCACAUUGGGCCUGAGAUACGGCCCAGACUCCUACGGGAGGCAGCAGUGGGGAAUAUUGCACAAUGGGCGGAAGCCUGAUGCAGCAACGCCGCGUGCGGGAUGACGGCCUACGGGUUGUAAACCGCUUUCGCCUGUGACGAAGCGUGAGUGACGGUAAUGGGUAAAGAAGCACCGGCUAACUACGUG